rnacentral:rRNA from 1 species
GAUGAACGCUGGCGGCGUGCCUAAUACAUGCAAGUCGAGCGAACAGACGAGGAGCUUGCUCCUCUGAUGUUAGCGGCGGACGGGUGAGUAACACGUGGAUAACCUACCUAUAAGACUGGGAUAACUUCGGGAAACCGGAGCUAAUACCGGAUAACAUGUUGAACCGCAUGGUUCAACAGUGAAAGACGGUCUUGCUGUCACUUAUAGAUGGAUCCGCGCCGCAUUAGCUAGUUGGUAAGGUAACGGCUUACCAAGGCAACGAUGCGUAGCCGACCUGAGAGGGUGAUCGGCCACACUGGAACUGAGACACGGUCCAGACUCCUACGGGGGGCAGCAGUAGGGAAUCUUCCGCAAUGGGCGAAAGCCUGACGGAGCAACGCCGCGUGAGUGAAGAAGGUCUUCGGAUCGUAAAACUCUGUUAUUAGGGAAGAACAAAUGUGUAAGUAACUAUGCACGUCUUGACGGUACCUAAUCAGAAAGCCACGGCUAACUACGUG